UUAAAUUAUUUCACAGUAUACAAUCUCAAAAAAAAAAAGGUAAUACAAGGCUAUCAGUUCAACAAAGUUGCCAAAGUCUAAUAAAAAAACAUUACCCAGAUGGUCCCUUAUCACUCUACCCAACCAUGCCGGUUCCAGAUUUCUUACCAAGCUUCCAUCAAAAUUAAUCUUCAUGCAUCCCAUUAGUGGCGGACUCCAAAGUCCUCCCUUUCUAUUCUUAUUUACACGACAAUCCAUAUUAGCAAGUAUAUCCACUCUAGAGAUACCAAAGCAAUUCCGCUUCCUCUCCAUAUUUCCCAUGGAAUGGUUACCCUAAAAGCUUUUCAUAAAAUACCCCAACUUCGGUAAACCCGGCAUGUCAAGUUGGUCCACGAU
rnacentral:lncRNA from 1 species